AGUGGGCGAUGAUGAUCCAGACGAAACGUCAUUUUUCCUGAAUCUGAUGACGGUUUUAAGUCACUACCUCUUCUGAGCUCAUU
rnacentral:snoRNA from 1 species